ACCAAUACUGAAGGAGUAAAGCAGGAAGAAAAAUUGACCUUCUGGUACAACGUAAACAAAGGCUAUUCGCCGUGAGUAUACCCUUUUCUGUGUGGAGUAACUGGCAAAAGUUAACUUGUGUAACUAUUGGAAACCUCCAGGAGAAGGAGGGCGGCCCUACCCCUAUAAGAGUGUGGUGGGCGAGCCGUGAGAAGUCAAACUUCAAACAGCCGCCGCAACGAGACUUAUUGUGGUCGUAUUUCCCAUCGCCUUAUCGUAGCCCAAGCGCAGUGGAGGACACCGGGCGCUUCCCUUGUUGUGGUGCACUUAUAGUGUGGUGAGUGAGACUGUGUAAUAAAUCUUUUUCACGUUUGGAGUGGUGCUGUGUAUUGCUGUGGGUUGCUGUGUGUCUUGUAGACGAAGCCCCGCAUCAUCCAUUUUCUUCCACUGGGCAGAGGACGGAGAGGCCAACGACUACAGAAAUCACUGUUAUUAUACGUAGUGUGCUGUUUGGAGUACGAAGGGACACAGACUGAGAGCUGUCCGUGACCGUGACGGCCACCUGUGGAGAGAGAGAGAACGAGAGUGAAUCAUUGAAGAGCAAACUGUGAACGUGAUACCUACCCAGAAAGCUGUAAACAGCAGAGCCGGUGAGAAAUACUCGAAGUUUCAGUAACAGUGUCUUUGGGUCCUAGCGGCCACCUGUGGAGAGAGAACAGGACGAGAGUGAAUCAUCGAAGAGCAAACUGUGAACGUGAUACCUACCCAGAGAGCUGUAAGCAGCAGAACCGGUGAGCAAUACCCGAAGUCCAAGUAACAGUGUCAUUUGUGUCCUAGUGGCCGCCUGUGGAGAGCAAGGAGAAACAAUUGGAGAACAGACUGUGUAACGUGAUACCUACCCAGAGAGCUGCAAGCAGCAGAGCCGGUGAGAAACACCUCAAGUGCAAACUAACAGUGCUUUUGUGUCGCAGUGACUAUCUGUGGGGCACAAGGCGAACGUGGGCGGACGUACGACAGGGAACGUAAGGGCACGUGGGGCGAGGACCCCCUGCCGACCCGAGGAAAGAUACACCGACAGUGGAGAUCCUCCUUACCAGUCACACCAAAAUUAUUCUGCCUCCAGGACGGAAGAAGGAGGGCGCCACGGUUAGCAGGGUCCAGGCCGGAGCCUGACGUUUCCCUUUCUCCCCCGGCUUAUGGUGGUUGGCACCCCUGUUGCCCUUGGCCUGUCUGCCCGUGGCUGCAGUCUCCCUGGAGGGAGACGAAGAGACCUAUUAGUUUUAAAUUCCCCUUUCCCCCAAAUUCCCAGUUCUUUUAGAUAUUUAAACUAAAUAAAGCUUGUUUUAAAUUUUA